CCUACGGGGGGCAGCAGUGAGGAAUAUUGGUCAAUGGCCGCGAGCCUGAACCAGCCAAGUAGCGUGAGGGAUGACUGCCCUACGGGUUGUAAACUUCUUUUAUGAGGGAAUAAAGUGAGGCACGUGUGUCUGUUUGUAUGUACUUUAUGAAUAAGGAUCGGCUAACUCCGUGCCAGCAGCCGCGGUAAUACGGAGGAUCCGAGCGUUAUCCGGAUUUAUUGGGUUUAAAGGGAGCGUAGAUGGGUUGUUAAGUAAGUUGUGAAAGUUUGCGGCUCAACCGUAAAAGUGCAAUUGAUACUGGCAGUCUUGUGUACAGGUGAGGUAGGCGGAAUUCGUGGUGUAGCGGUGAAAUGCUUAGAUAUCACGAAGAACUCCGAUUGCGAAGGCAGCUUACUAAACUGCCACUGACAUUGAUGCUCGAAAGUGUGGGUAUCAAACAGGAUUAGAUACCCGGGUAGUC
rnacentral:rRNA from 1 species